AUUGAACGCUGGCGGCAGGCUUAACACAUGCAAGUCGAGCGAGCGGCGGACGGGUGAGUAAUGUCUGGGAAACUGCCUGACGGAGGGGGAUAACUACUGGAAACGGUAGCUAAUACCGCAUACCAUCAGAUGUGCCCAGAUGGGAUUAGCUAGUAGAUGGGGUAAUGGCUCACCUAGGCGACGAUCCCUAGCUGGUCUGAGAGGAUGAGCAGCCAGACUGGAACGGAGACACGGUGCAGACUCCUACGGGAGGCAGCAGUGGAGAAUAUUGCACAAUAGGCGCAAGCCUAAUGCAGCCAUGACGCGUGUGUGAAGAAGGCCUGCGAGUUGUAAAGCACUUUCAGCGAGGAGGCGUUACCCGCAGAAGAAGCACCAGCUGACUACGGACCAGCAGCCGCGGUAAUUC
rnacentral:rRNA from 1 species